GAUGAACGCUGGCGGCGUGCCUAAUACAUGCAAGUCGAGCGAACGGACGAGAAGCUUGCUUCUCUGAUGUUAGCGGCGGACGGGUGAGUAACACGUGGAUAACCUACCUAUAAGACUGGGAUAACUUCGGGAAACCGGAGCUAAUACCGGACAAUAUUUUGAACCGCAUGGUUCAAAAGUGAAAGACGGUCUUGCUGUCACUUAUAGAUGGAUCCGCGCUGCAUUAGCUAGUUGGUAAGGUAACGGCUUACCAAGGCAACGAUGCAUAGCCGACCCGAGAGGGUGAUCGGCCACACUGGAACUGAGACACGGUCCAGACUCCUACGGGAGGCAGCAGUAGGGAAUCUUCCGCAAUGGGCGAAAGCCUGACGGAGCAACGCCGCGUGAGUGAUGAAGGUCUUCGGAUCGUAAAACUCUGUUAUUAGGGAAGAACAUAUGUGUAAGUAACUGUGCACAUCUUGACGGUACCUAAUCAGAAAGCCACGGCUAACUACGUG
rnacentral:rRNA from 1 species